GACGAACGCUGGCGGCGUGCCUAAUACAUGCAAGUUGAGCGAUGAAGAUUGGUGCUUGCCCCAAUUUGAAGAGCAGCGAACGGGUGAGUAACGCGUGGGGAAUCUGCCUUUGAGCGGGGGACAACAUUUGGAAACGAAUGCUAAUACCGCAUAACAACUUUAAACAUAAGUUUUAAGUUUGAAAGAUGCAAUUGCAUCACUCAAAGAUGAUCCCGCGUUGUAUUAGCUAGUUGGUGAGGUAAAGGCUCACCAAGGCGAUGAUACAUAGCCGACCUGAGAGGGUGAUCUGCCACAUUGGGACUGAGACACGGCCCAAACUCCUACGGGAGGCAGCAGUAGGGAAUCUUCGGCAAUGGACGAAAGUCUGACCGAGCAACGCCGCGUGAGUGAAGAAGGUUUUCGGAUCGUAAAACUCUGUUGGUAGAGAAGAACGUUGGUGAGAGUGGAAAGCUCAUCAAGUGACGGUAACUACCCAGAAAGGGACGGCUAACUACGUG
rnacentral:rRNA from 1 species